GAUGAACGCUAGCGGGAGGCUUAAUACAUGCAAGUCGAGGGAGAAAUUUUACUUCGGUAAAAUGGAAACCGGCGAACGGGUGAGUAACGCGUACACAAUCUACCCUUAACAGGGGGAUAGCCUCGGGAAACUGAGAUUAAUACCCCAUAAUAUUGACAGUUUGCAUAAUAAGUCAAUUAAAGUUCCGGCGGUUAAGGAUGAGUGUGCGUCCCAUUAGCUAGUUGGUGAGGUAACGGCUCACCAAGGCGACGAUGGGUAGGGGGCGUGAGAGCGUGGUCCCCCACACGGGUACUGAGACACGGACCCGACUCCUACGGGAGGCAGCAGUAAGGAAUAUUGGACAAUGGGCGCAAGCCUGAUCCAGCCAUCCCGCGUGCAGGAAGACGGCCCUAUGGGUUGUAAACUGCUUUUAUUAGGGAAGAAACCCCUCGAUUUAUUGAGGGCUGACGGUACCUAAAGAAUAAGCACCGGCUAACUCCG
rnacentral:rRNA from 1 species